GACGAACCGUGCGAACGUUAUUCGGAAUCACUGGGCUUAAAGCGCGUGUAGGCGGGCGGGCACGUCCGACGCUGAAAUCCCCCGGCUCAACCGGGGAAUGGGCGGGGAUACGACCAGCCUGGAGGGACGGAGGGGGACCUGGAACUUCCGGUGGAGCGGUGAAAUGCGUUGAGAUCGGAAGGAACGCCCGUGGCGAAAGCGGCAUCCUGGACCGGUAUUGACGCUGAGGCGCGAAAGCUAGGGGAGCAAACGGG
rnacentral:rRNA from 1 species